UACGAAGGGGGCGAGCGUUGCUCGGAAUCACUGGGCGUAAAGCGCACGUAGGCGGCUUUUUAAGUCAGGGGUGAAAUCCUGGAGCUCAACUCCAGAACUGCCUUUGAUACUGGGAAGCUUGAGUCCGGGAGAGGUGAGUGGAACUGCGAGUGUAGAGGUGAAAUUCGUAGAUAUUCGCAAGAACACCAGUGGCGAAGGCGGCUCACUGGCCCGGUACUGACGCUGAGGUGCGAAAGCGUGGGGAGCAAACAGG
rnacentral:rRNA from 1 species